rnacentral:misc_RNA from 1 species
GAUGAAGAACGCAGUGAAAUGCGAUACUUGGUGUGAAUUGCAGAAUCCCGUGAACCAUCAAGUCUUUGAACGCAAGUUGCGCCCGAAGCCAUUAGGCCGAGGGCACGCCUGCCUGGGCGUCACACGUCGUUGCCCCCCCAUCUACUCCUUCGGGAUUGCGGGGGGCGGAUGAUGGCCUCUCGUGCGCCUCGUCGCGCGGUUGGCCUAAAUGCCAAGUCCUCGGCGACGCACGCCACGACAAUCGGUGGUUGCGAAACCUCGGUUGCCUGUCGUGUGCGGUCGUCGCGCAUCGAGGGCUCGAAAAAAUUGCCGGGCUUCGGCUCGACUUUCAACGCGACCCCAGGUCAGGCGGGGUUACCCGCUGAAUUUAAGCAUAUCAAUAAGCGGAGGA